UACAGAGGGUGCUAGCGUUGUUCGGAAUUACUGGGCGUAAAGGGCGAGUAGGUGGCCAUCUAAGUCAGACGUGAAAUCCCCCGGCUUAACCUGGGAACUGCGUCUGAUACUGGACGGCUUGAGUAUGGGAGAGGAAUGUAGAAUUCCAGGUGUAGCGGUGAAAUGCGUAGAUAUCUGGAGGAAUACCGGUGGCGAAGGCGGCAUUCUGGACCAUUACUGACACUGAAUCGCGAAAGCUAGGGGAGCAAACGGG
rnacentral:rRNA from 1 species